AUUCCAGAUAGAGGAAACCACGUGGGCAAAACCACAGUAAGAGAAAAUAAAUAGAACAGGUCCAAGAAUACAGAUUGUCUGGCUGGAGACCCGAGUGUGGAUUAAAAAAGCACAAAAAGUGAGGCUCUCAGUCUGCAGGAGGUCCUGUAAGUAAACAAUAGGAUCCUGUAAAGGAUGGAGUGCUUUCAAAGGAUUUCAAGCAAGAAAGAGCCUCCUGAUUGCCUCACUCCAAUCUUUAACCCAAGUGAAUCAGGGCUUCCCUGACUCAGAAUAGACACAAAUUAUCUCUAAAGUGAAACUUGGAUUUGCACUCUAUGGUGAAAUGAUGGAGCUCCAGGAACUGGAGAAGCAAGAAAUCAGAUUCCUCAUACCUGAAGUACUCUGUGCUCACGAAGGGCCAUAACCUGCCUCCCCCACUUGAAAGGAGCUGAAGUUCUGACUGAGGCCUGCGGGAGAACUGCUGCUCUCCAAGUUAGAGUACACACUUUUGGAAGAAACUGACAGAGACAUCAGGCCAAUUCUUGAGGCAACUCAGGUGUUUAUUUCUGGCAAACAGACAGAAGGAAAGUAGGAUUCCCACUGCUGAGAGUCAAGGCCCAGAAUGGGGCAGGU